GCAUUGAGUUCCAUUCUGGUUAUCACCAAGGACACAUCCCUUGUUAGGACCUCUGUAAAAUGCCUGUAUCUAGGGCCCAUAUUUAUUGUGAUGAGACUUCCCCAAACCUGCAGAGAUAGAGAAGAAGAUGCCUAAUGUGCUCAGUGACGUUUGCCUCUCACUCUCCCUUCAAAGCAUAUAAGCCUUCUGCUUUAUUUCUUGAUCCAUGAGGUUGACGCUCAUUCUUCUGCUGUGCCCAAAUAGGAUUACCCUAGGCUUCCCAGAUACAGAGAUGUUUCUAAGGUUGUUCUUGGAGCACGUUCUUGGAAAAGCUGUAAUUCUUGCUUCACUGGCACUGAAUGUUGCAUUUUCUUACAGGCACUGGAUAUAAACCACCUGAGCUUCAUUCAGGUGUGGAUCCAAAGAGAAACAUCCCAAAUAAAGGCACUGGAUAUAAAUCACAUGUGCUUCAUUCAGAUGUGGAUCAGAAGGGAAACAUUUCAAAUCAAGGUUUUUUGGGGAAUGAAUUUGCACCUCAGGAAAGGAGUGGUAAGUAAAAACUUAUUACUCACAUAUGACUUUUACAUGACUACUACAUGACUACUUUCUUCACACCUAACCAUUCACAAUCUCUUAAUCCAUAGGUUUCCCUGUCUUGCCCUUUCCCUGGUUGUCUGUCUUAUAUCUCCAAAUUUGUUAUAGACUUUUUCAGAAGAUGUUCUUUCCACUUAGUUUCUCCUCCUAAAAGCUAUUUCAGUUCCCAUUUUUCCCAUUCCACAUCAUUUCUUUCCUACACAUAUCAGUAUUUUCUGUUUUCCUCAGUCUGUCUCUGAGGACUUGAUACAGGCUCACUGAAAACUUGAAGAGACAGAGGACAUUAAACUGAAAGCACAGGGUUCCAUCCUGUUUACCUUCUGGGCACAUCCGUAGUCAGGA